rnacentral:rRNA from 1 species
UGGGGAAUAUUGCACAAUGGGGGAAACCCUGAUGCAGCAACGCCGCGUGAGUGAUGAAGGCCUUCGGGUUGUAAAGCUCUGUCUUUGGGGACGAUAAUGACGGUACCCAAGGAGGAAGCCACGGCUAACUACGUGCCAGCAGCCGCGGUAAUACGUAGGUGGCAAGCGUUGUCCGGAUUUACUGGGCGUAAAGGGAGCGUAGGUGGAUAUUUAAGUGGGAUGUGAAAUCCCCGGGCUUAACCUGGGGGCUGCAUUCCAAACUGGAUGUCUAGAAUGCAGGAGAGGAGAGUGGAAUUCCUAGUGUAACGGUGAAAUGCGUAGAGAUUAGGAAGAACACCAGUGGCGAAGGCGACACUCUGGACUGUAACUGACACUGAGGCUCGAAAGCGUGGGGAGCAAACA